rnacentral:rRNA from 1 species
UGGGGAAUAUUGGGCAAUGGGGGAAACCCUGACCCAGCAACGCCGCGUGAAGGAAGAAGGCUUUCGGGUUGUAAACUUCUUUUACCGAGGACGAAGAACGUGACGGUACUCGGAGAAAAAGCCACGGCUAACUACGUGCCAGCAGCCGCGGUAAUACGUAGGUGGCAAGCGUUGUCCGGAUUUACUGGGUGUAAAGGGCGCGUAGGCGGGGAUGCAAGUCAGAUGUGAAAUCUAUGGGCUCAACCCAUAAACUGCAUUUGAAACUGUAUCUCUUGAGUGUCGGAGAGGUAGAUGGAAUUCCUAGUGUAGCGGUGAAAUGCGUAGAUAUUAGGAGGAACACCAGUGGCGAAGGCGAUCUACUGGACGAUAACUGACGCUGAGGCGCGAAAGCGUGGGGAGCAAACGGGAUUA